rnacentral:rRNA from 1 species
UGGUAAAGCGAAUGAUUAGAGGCCUUAGGGUCGAAACGAUCUUAACCUAUUCUCAAACUUUAAAUGGGUAAGAACCUUAACUUUCUUGAUAUGAAGUUUAAGGUUAUGAUAUAAUGUGCCCAGUGGGCCACUUUUGGUAAGCAGAACUGGCGCUGUGGGAUGAACCAAACGUAAUGUUACGGUGCCCAAAUUAACAACUCAUGCAGAUACCAUGAAAGGCGUUGGUUGCUUAAAACAGCAGGACGGUGAUCAUGGAAGUCGAAAUCCGCUAAGGAGUGUGUAACAACUCACCUGCCGAAGCAACUAGCCCUUAAAAUGGAUGGCGCUUAAGUUGUAUACCUAUACAUUACCGCUAAAGUAGAUGAUUUAUAUUACUUGUAAUAUAAAUUUUGAAACUUUAGUGAGUAGGAAGGUACAAUGGUAUGCGUAGAAGUGUUUGGCGUAAGCCUGCAUGGAGCUGCCAUUGGUACAGAUCUUGGUGGUAGUAGCAAAUAAUCGAAUGAGACCUUGGAGGACUGAAGUGGAGAAGGGUUUCGUGUGAACAGUGGUUGAUCACGAGUUAGUCGGUCCUAAGUUCAAGGCGAAAGCCGAAAAUUUUCAAGUAAUAAAAUGACUAUAUAUUACAAAAAUGCCAAUUAAUAUACUUGAAUAAUUUUGAACGAAAGGGAAUACGGUUCCAAUUCCGUAACCUGUUGAGUAUCCGUUUGUUAUUAAAUAUGGGCCUCGUGCUCAUCCUGGCAACAGGAACGACCAUAAAGAAGCCGUCGAGAGAUAUCGGAAGAGUUUUCUUUUCUGUUUUAUAGCCGUACUACCAUGGAAGUCUUUCGCAGAGAGAUAUGGUAGAUGGGCUAGAAGAGCAUGACAUAUACUGUUGUGUCGAUAUUUUCUCCUCGGACCUUGAAAAUUUAUGGUGGGGAUACGCAAACUUCUCAACAGGCCGUACCAAUAUCCGCAGCUGGUCUCCAAGGUGAAGAGUCUCUAGUCGAUAGAAUAAUGUAGGUAAGGGAAGUCGGCAAAUUAGAUCCGUAACUUCGGGAUAAGGAUUGGCUCUGAAGAUUGAGAUAGUCGGGCUUGAUUGGGAAACAAUAACAUGGUUUAUGUGCUCGUUCUGGGUAAAUAGAGUUUCUAUCAUUUAUGUUAGUUGCUUGUUCCCCGGAUAGUUUAGUUACGUAGCCAAUUGUGGAACUUUCUUGCUAAAAUUUUUAAGAAUACUAGUUGGGUCAAACCAAUUAGUUCUUAUUAAUUAUAACGAUUAUCAAUUAACAAUCAAUUCAGAACUGGCACGGACUUGGGGAAUCCGACUGUCUAAUUAAAACAAAGCAUUGUGAUGGCCCUAGCGGGUGUUGACACAAUGUGAUUUCUGCCCAGUGCUCUGAAUGUCAAAGUGAAGAAAUUCAAGUAAGCGCGGGUCAACGGCGGGAGUAACUAUGACUCUCUUAAGGUAGCCAAAUGCCUCGUCAUCUAAUUAGUGACGCGCAUGAAUGGAUUAACGAGAUUCCUACUGUCCCUAUCUACUAUCUAGCGAAACCACAGCCAAGGGAACGGGCUUGGAAUAAUUAGCGGGGAAAGAAGACCCUUUUGAGCUUGACUCUAAUCUGGCAGUGUAAGGAGACAUAAGAGGUGUAGAAUAAGUGGGAGAUAUUAGACUUCGGUUUGGUAUCGACAAUGAAAUACCACUACUCUUAUUGUUUCCUUACUUACUUGAUUAAAUGGAACGUGUAUCAUUUCCUAGCCAUUAUACGGAUAUAUUUAUUAUAUCUUAUGGUAUUGGGUUUUGAUGCAAGCUUCUUGAUCAAAGUAUCACGAGUUUGUUAUAUAAUCGCAAACAAAUUCUUUAAUGAGACGAUGCAUUUAUGUAUUUUUGAUUUGAAAAUUUGGUAUAACUCCAAUUACUCAGGUAUGAUCCAAUUCAAGGACAUUGCCAGGUAGGGAGUUUGACUGGGGCGGUACAUCUCUCAAAUAAUAACGGAGGUGUCCCAAGGCCAGCUCAGUGCGGACAGAAACCACACAUAGAGCAAAAGGGCAAAUGCUGACUUGAUCUCGGUGUUCAGUACACACAGGGACAGCAAAAGCUCGGCCUAUCGAUCCUUUUGGUUUAAAGAGUUUUUAACAAGAGGUGUCAGAAAAGUUACCAUAGGGAUAACUGGCUUGUGGCGGCCAAGCGUUCAUAGCGACGUCGCUUUUUGAUCCUUCGAUGUCGGCUCUUCCUAUCAUUGUGAAGCAAAAUUCACCAAGCGUUGGAUUGUUCACCCAUGCAAGGGAACGUGAGCUGGGUUUAGACCGUCGUGAGACAGGUUAGUUUUACCCUACUAAUGACAAAACGUUGUUGCGACAGCAUUCCUGCGUAGUACGAGAGGAACCGCAGGUACGGACCAAUGGCACAAUACUUGUUCGAGCGAACAGUGGUAUGACGCUACGUCCGUUGGAUUAUGCCUGAACGCCUCUAAGGUCGUAUCCGUGCUGGACUGCAAUGAUAAAUAAGGGGCAAUUUGCAUUGUAUGGCUUCUAAACCAUUUAAAGUUUGU